rnacentral:rRNA from 1 species
AAGCUCGUAGUUGAAUUUCGGGGUCAGUAGGUUGGUCGUGCCACCGGUACGUACUGGUCUCACUGAUUCCUCCUUCCUGAUGAGCUGUAAUGCCAUUAAUUUGGUGUGGCAGGGAAUCUGGACUGUUACUUUGAAAAAAUUAGAGUGUUUAAAGCAGGCUAACGCUUGAAUACAUUAGCAUGGAAUAAUGAAAUAGGACGUUCGAUCCUAUUUUGUUGGUUUCUAGGAUUGACGUAAUGAUUAAUAGGGAUAGUUGGG